rnacentral:rRNA from 1 species
UACGUAGGGUGCAAGCGUUGUCCGGAAUUAUUGGGCGUAAAGAGCUCGUAGGCGGUCUGUCGCGUCGGCUGUGAAAACCCGGAGCUCAACUCCGGGCCUGCAGUCGAUACGGGCAGACUGGAGUUCGGCAGGGGAGACUGGAAUUCCUGGUGUAGCGGUGAAAUGCGCAGAUAUCAGGAGGAACACCCGUGGCGAAGGCGGCUCUCUGGGACGGUACUGACGCUGAGACGCGAAAGCGUGGGGAGCGAACAGG